rnacentral:rRNA from 1 species
GUAGUCCAUGCCGUAAACGGUGGGCGCUAGGUGUGGGGUUCCUUCCACGGGCUCCGCGCCGUAGCUAACGCAUUAAGCGCCCCGCCUGGGGAGUACGGCCGCAAGGCUAAAACUCAAAGAAAUUGACGGGGGCCCGCACAAGCGGCGGAGCAUGUGGAUUAAUUCGAUGCAACGCGAAGAACCUUACCUGGGCUUGACAUAUAGAGGAUCGCUACAGAGAUGUGGUUUCCCUUGUGGCUUCUAUACAGGUGGUGCAUGGUUGUCGUCAGCUCGUGUCGUGAGAUGUUGGGUUAAGUCCCGCAACGAGCGCAACCCUUGUCUUAUGUUGCCAGCACGUUAUGGUGGGGACUCGUGAGAGACUGCCGGGGUCAACUCGGA